rfam:Flavobacterium sp. AED Contig05, whole genome shotgun sequence.
AAAUAGCCCCGAUAGAAAUUAAAAACCUAGUAAGAGCUGGCUUUCAGCUCUUACUAGGUUUGUAAUGUAUAGCGGGAAAUACG